rnacentral:rRNA from 1 species
CAAGUCGCGUGCGCAGUUGCCGUAGCAAUACGGUGAUGGGCGCACGGCGCACGGGUGCGUAACACGUGGGCAAUCUGCCCUUUGAUGGGGAAUAACCCGCCGAAAGGCGGGCUAAUUCCGCAUAAGAUUCCCGAGACUUAGGUUUUGGGAUUGAAAGCAGCAAUGCGUCGAAGGAGGAGCCCGCGCCCGAUUAGCUAGUUGGUGAGGUAACGGCUCACCAAGGCUAUGAUCGGUAGCUGGUCUGAGAGGAUGAUCAGCCACACUGGAACUGAGACACGGUCCAGACUCCUACGGGAGGCAGCAGUGGGGAAUCUUGCACAAUGGGCGAAAGCCUGAUGCAGCGACGCCGCGUGGGGGAUGAAGCAUUUCGGUGUGUAAACCCCUUUCGACUGGGAAGAAUACCUCGCAAGAGGGGUGACGGUACCAGUAGAAGAAGCCCCGGCUAACUACGUGCCAGCAGCCGCGGUAAGACGUAGGGGGCCAGCGUUGUUCGGAAUUACUGGGUGUAAAGGGUUCGUAGGCGGUGCGGCAAGUUGGGAGUGAAAUCUCUGGGCUUAACCCAGAGGCUGCUUCCAAAACUGCUGUGCUCGAGUGUGAGAGAGGCUCGUGGAAUUGCAGGUGUAGCGGUGAAAUGCGUAGAUAUCUGCAGGAACACCCGUGGCGAAAGCGGCGAGCUGGAUCACUACUGACGCUGAGGAACGAAAGCUAGGGGAGCAAACAGGAUUAGAUACCCUGGUAGUCCUAGCCCCAAACGAUCAGGACUUGGGGUGCCGCCCGUUCGGGCGUCGUCCCGGAGCUAACGCGUUAAGUCCUGCACCUGGGGAGUACGGUCGCAAGACUGAAACUCAAAGGAAUUGACGGGGGGCCCG